rnacentral:rRNA from 1 species
GGGUGCGAUCAUACCAGCGCUAAUGCACCGGAUCCCAUCAGAACUCCGUUGUUAAGCGUACCUGGACGGAAGUAGUACAAGCAUGGGUGACCUCCUCGGAAGUCCUUGUGUUGCACCCC